CGGAGGAUUACCUGGGACGAGGCUUUGGGGCACAGACAGGCGACGGGCACAGACGGUGCUUGGCGUUAUUGCUUUUAAAUCAACGCGUUUAUUGAAUUUUAGACGAUUGACGAGCAUCUCAUCUUUAAAGAUGCGCUUUGCGAGAGCGUUCUUGGAAAAUCACGUUUGAUUUCAGUUUCUAUUCCAGUCUGCGGCUUUCUGAUUAUUAUUAUUAUUAUUAUUUUCUUUCUUCGGCUGGCGUAGCGCCGCGUGCGGGGCUCUCCCCGAUGGGCGCAGGUCCGCGAGCGGCGGCACUCGCACACACGCGCGGCCGUGGGGAGGGGAGGAGAGAUAAGUUACUUUCUGUCUAUGAAAGACUUGGUAGUGUUUUCCCUACCAUAGCCUCGCUGGGCAGUGCGCUCACGGUGGCUUCCAGAGAAAACGUAAGAGCCAUCCUUCGCUGGAACAACGGGGAGUACACGCAGACGUAACGCUAGCGUUCCCCCUGAGAUUGCGUUCCGGAACUUCAGUAUUCGGCGAAACCCCUGUUCUAAAAGCUUUGCUGUUUUCCAGGAAGAGUUGAGUUUAUUUUAUCGUAUCUUCAGGAAAUGGUUAACGUGGGAGUUCUGGGUACUGUGUAUUUGGUUUGGGUGUUGGGGCGUAAUUCGGCGGAAUCUGUGGCGUGCUGCUCAAACUGCAGUGACCACAGAAUGAAUCGAGAGUCGUUCAUCGUUUUAAGAAGUUGAAGAUCGCUUUAACUCUGUGAUAUGUCCCUCUGAAUGUUGGCUUCUAUUGUAUGCAUUCUUCACAAGCUGUGUAGGGGCAGCUAAACCAUGCGUGAAGCUUACAUCUCUGUAAAACUGUGUUCGUUUCUCAGAUGGAAGAACAAAUCAAAUCAGCUUUCAUAUUUACCAAGUAGUGAAGUGCAAGUGUGUUUGUAUUCCCACUGCAGAAAUCCCCCCUGCUGUAUCUAGGUGUCUGGGUGUCCAUAAGGCAACAAGAGAUACGUAGAAAUCCGUACGGCUCUUAACUGUCUUGGAGAGUUGGAAGUGUUUUGUUGGAUUAAAUUAGGAUUUUUCAUCCUUCCUGAAACUGAGUAAAGAGAACAUUACAAAUGACUCAAUUCCAGGAUUUUAACACUUUUUUUUUUUUUUUUUUUUCUUUUGCCAAGGGGAAUACUUUGGAGUGGUUGUGUCGGAAAGGCAAGUGAGCUGAAAUGUUGUGGUAGUAGGAUUUGCAGCAUUAAAUACGGCUCAUUUCUCUUGUAUGACUACAGGUGGCAGUGUAGAAGCCAAGAACAAAAAUUGGCAGAAAUUACAUUCUGUGUACAAGAGAAUGAAGAGUAUACUCAUGACUAAGCACAGGAACCUGGAAAACCACAGGCUUUGGUCAGGUGAUCCAUGGUGACUGGUCAGCCCACCAAGAGGGUACCUCAGCAGCCAGAAUCACAGAAUCACCAAAGUUGGAAAAGACCUCUAAGAUCACCCAGUCCAAUGUUUUUCCUGACAUCCAACCUGAAUCUCCCCUGGCGCAAUUUGAAGGCAUUCCCUCCAGUCCUAUCACUAGUUAGAUGGGAAAAGAGACGGAAUUAAAAUCACUGUCUCCCCUUCAUCUGCUUUUGUAGCCAAAGUGGCUAUGUAGCAGACUCCAUUUUGAAUAGUUGAGAACAGCAGAUAGCAAAGAUACUUUCUUUUUCUAGAAACAUAUUUAAAAUUUCAUAGCUUUAAGAAAGGCAUGAGCUAUACCAAAGCUAUACCAAAGCCAUUAUGUUAUUAAAAAUAGGACAAAUUUCUGUUAACCUGCAUGUGAUAGCUCUCUGCUUAUUGGCUGGGAAGGCAGCUGCUGAGUUGUAUUCCUGUAGUGUUUUUUGCCAAAGAAACAUGUUCUUUUUAUUUUUGAAGCUUCUCAUCUAAAAUGUGCGAGAAAAUGUGAGUAUUUGGUAUGGAAGGGUUGAAAUUAAAUUUACCAACCAGCAUGUAUCCUCCGGAGAGAAGUUAUUCGUCCUACUAAAAACCUGGCAUUGUGUGCCAAAAUAAGAAUGAGCAUGAGUUGAAGGAGUUUGGUUUAUGCACAAUGGUUGAGAAAUAAUUUAACCAGAGACGUAGAAAAUUCACUGGUAAUCUAUGUUGUUUGGUUAUAAAUAAAGGUGACUACUGAUGAAACAUAGAUAUGGUAAAGAUAUUUUUUUUCUUGAAUAAGAGCAUUAUUUCUGGGAACUUGCAUUUUAUUGGAUUUGGUAGUUAUUCUUCAUUGCAAGUAAAAGCUAUAACUACAGAAUAUCAGUGUUCUUUGUCUAGGGUGAGGUAGGGGGGAAUUGACCUUCCGUGACAAUGUGAAUGUAAUGAAAAUUCUUAUGUGCCAAUUAUGUUGCCAGACCAAUAAGUGUUGGCUAAGGUGUGGUGCCAAUCUUUUUGCAGGCCUUCAGACCUCGUAUUGAAGAAUUUCUACCUCUGUUUUCAGAGUGAUCCCAGCAGAUGCUGUAGUGAUCUAGCUUUUCAGUCUUGGGUGUCUUAUUGCAAAGCAUCUUCUGAGUUUUAUGUUCCCCCCACAUGUAUGUCCUGUAUGUGAAGACGUGCCUCUCUCACCUGACACAAGUCAGUUGGCCGGUUUUCCUACUGCCUGGCAGCAGGCUGAGGCUUGGUUGAAACCAGGUACGGAGUGAUGGUGGAAAAAGGGAGGCAAUGUAGCAAGGAAGUCUGGCUGGUAAACCAAAUGUUUGACCAUGUCAGCGAGGGCUGUCCAGGAGGAGAGCCAAAGGAAUCGUCCGUCAUGUGGCAUUGGCCACGAAACUUUUGGGCCUUCUGUCUGACCAUCAGGUCUUUGAAGUGACCAUGGGUUUCAGUUGUGAUAGUUUGGCUGUUCUUGAAGAACUCUAGAAGAUACUGACAGGAAUGAAGCAGAUUGGCACGUUGGCAUUAACACGGGUAUGGCAGAGGCAGCAGGCACCAGGCCAGAACCUGUCCCCUCAGACACUGUCCAGACAGAAUGGGAAACUUCAACUGAUGCAGAAGCUGUUGAGUGGGUGUUGACUUGUUGUUCACAGACGUCUCUGGAGGUGUUCCUGAAGCAUAUAGUUGUGAUACUUAUGGAUGUGGUUUAGUGGUCGAUAUUGGUGAUAGGUGAGCAGUUGGACUAGGUGAUCUUGGAGGUCUUUUCCAACCCCAAGAGAUCUGCUUUCUUCCUUCCCCCAACGCACCCCUGGGACAUCACAGCAGCUGCAGAGUUCUCCACAGAAACAAGCGUUGUGUCCCUCUGGGAAUCAUGUCCCUGAGGCUCACGGUUCACCAGUCAGCUGACUUCCACAGCACACUGAAUAUGAGUCCUUUCCGCACAGAUUUUGGCUGGGCACGUGCAGAGGACUUACUAUGGGAAAGAUCUGGAGUUGUUUAGAGAGAGGAAUUGAUUCCAAAUGAUGUCUUGCUUUGGGUUUAUAGUGUUUUUCAGACAAUGAAUUAAAUACUGUUUUCUCCAUACUAGAGGCUUGGAAGCAAUGUCUCUCUAACUUUUUAGUUACCAGAACCAGUGGUUUCUUACUUAGUACAAAGAAACAUAUGUCCUUGGUUAUCUAUCUAGCUAAUAAUUAAUAAUGCUUGGUUGUUUUUCCCCCCAUGUAUCUAUACUGACCUCUUUAGAAAGAGGUUUUAUAUUCUGAGCCCCUUACGUAUUUUUCCGUAUCACGUAUUUCAGUUAUUAUUCCAAAGUGCAAAACCUCCAGUGUCUAGCACACAAUUUUCCAAUACUUCAUCUCACUCUCACAGGAAAGAACAAUUAAAGGAAUAUUGAGUGUUUUUCUGUUUGCAUUUUUCGUUAAAUAGGUUGUCUUAACUAGAAUGUCAGGGUAUCUGUGCUAGUGAAGCAUGUCUUCCAUGUGCUUUCACCCUCAAGAUAGCUCCAACUGACAAAAUUACAUGGAGUCUAAUAACUACAUUUCAUUAUUGGCAGCAGUUUGCUAACAGCCAGAGCAAAAGGGCAUCUAACAGAUCUCUAUCCAGAGAUUUUAAUAUUUUUCUAUUGCAAUAGGAAAAAAAAUGCAGAGGAAGGUAACCUAAAGAUUUUUACUCAUGAGAAUAUUUUCAAUGAAUUAUAUUGAUUAACAAAAUUGCUACAUCUUAUGGCAGAAACUUUUUAGAAGACGGCAGUAAUUGUAAUUAAUUUUUAGACUGUGCCACAUAUUUGAUGAUAGCUCUGAUUCAUGCUAUUAUAUUCUCUCUCUUCCUUCACCCACAGCAAAACAAAUUUAAUUUGAUUCAUACCCUUAAGGAAAAAAAACUCAAAAUUACUCACAUGGUUAUGAUUCAGCUCUUGGCAUAAAACCCUGUCCUCCUCCAUCCUCCCCUUCUCCCACCCAAACCACCCCCACCCUCACCCACUGUAUAUUUAUGUCACCAUAGUCUGAAAAAGUUGAGUAGCUCUUUAAAAACAGAGCAAAUGAAAUCCUUCUUCAGGCUGCCGUAUUACAUAUGUCGAUCCGAGUCUAAUAAGACUUCCUUUUUACAAGUGGUAUGGAGGCAGCAACAGUACUCUGUUUUUCAUGUUACUUUAAUAGACAACAGCACUGUGUUAGUUCUGAGAGGUGGUUGCUUUUUAGCAGUUUAGCAAAGCUACAGCAAGCGAUGCUAAAAUUGCACAAGUUGUUGGAUUCAUGAAUAUGGCUUUCCAAAAAAAA